UACGUAGGAGGCGAGCGUUGUCCGGAAUUACUGGGUGUAAAGGGCGCGUAGGCGGCCUUCUAAGUCGAACGUGAAAUCCCCGGGCUCAACCCGGGAACUGCGUCCGAUACUGGAAGGCUUGAAUCCGGGAGAGGGAUGCGGAAUUCCAGGUGUAGCGGUGAAAUGCGUAGAUAUCUGGAGGAACACCGGUGGCGAAGGCGGCAUCCUGGACCGGCAUUGACGCUGAGGCGCGAAAGCCAGGGGAGCAAACGGG
rnacentral:rRNA from 1 species